rnacentral:sRNA from 1 species
AUAUUAGUUCCUUAAUUUUUAAUAAUUAUGUUGACAUUCAUCCUAAAUAUAGGCAAUUUAUGUUGGUAGGUCUACCUGCAAUCUAAAUUUUAAUUCUCUCCCUCAUCCUUUAUUUCUGCUUGACUCUAGGUAUUGCAGUUGGACACAUAUAUUUUUUCUUGGAAGAUGUAUUUCCCAAUCAACCUGGUGGAAUAAGAAUUCUGAAAACACCAUCUAUUUUGAAAGCUAUUUUUGAUACACCAGAUGAGGAUCCAAAUUACAAUCCACUACCUGAAGAACGGCCAGGAGGCUUCGCCUGGGGUGAGGGCCAGCGGCUCGGAGGUUAAAGCAGCAGUGCCAAUAAUGAGACCCAGCUGGGAAGGACUCGGUGAUACCCACUGGGAUCUUUUAUCCUUUGUUGCAAAAGUGUGGACACUUUUGACAGCUUGGCGGAUUUUAACUCCAGAAGCACUUUAUGAAAUGGUACACUGACUAAUCCAGAAGACAUUUCCAACAGUUUGCCAGUGGUUCCUCACUACACUGGUACUGAAAGUGUAAUUUCUUAGAGCCAAAAAACUGGAGAAACAAAUAUCCUGCCACCUCUAACAAGUACAUGAGUACUUGAUUUUUAUGGUAUAAGGCAGAGCCUUUUCUUCCUCUUCUUGAUAGAUGAGGCCAUGGUGUAAAUGGAAGUUUCAGAGAGGACAAAAUAAAACGGAAUU